GGCGCUUCUAGAAUUUACCGGCUACGUGCUACCUGUCCCUCGGGUUGCCUCUGUUUUGUUCCCUUUCUGCUGCCAUUUGGCAAGUGGCGAAUGCCAGCUCUACACCCCGGUGAGGGUCGGGCAAUUCUCCUCUACCACUUUUCUUCCCUUUGCAGUUCACUCAAAAAAAUGAUCUAAGUAUAGGAACUAGCAAGCGAAAAUAAAAAUGCAAGCUUUAGCUUUUUACCGUUUACUUCACACUCCUGCACCAUUGUUUCUCUAGAGAACAGCCAGACAGCUGCAACAAGAACUUACCGAGGCUGUCGGAAAGCAGCAGAUUGCAGAAGCAUCCCUGAAAACUUCUGCCGACUUAUGCGACUCCUGAAGAACAAAAUCUCCAAAUUGCAAGAGGAUUUGGACAAGGCUAAUGCCACGGUAUGCAAUGCAACACCUGUGAACACGUUCAUACGGGUGAAGCUGUCCAUUUCCUCCAACUAGUGAAAGGGAAGAAAUAAGCUGGGAACAAACAUAGGACGCUGUUGUUUUUCCACUGCAUGCAGGUGUGUGACCUUUCUGCACAGCUAAAGGUGGAACACUCAGAGUUGCUGCUGCAAAAAAGGGCAAAUGAGGAGCUGCGGAUGGAGGAGGCUGUUCUCAAGCAGCGUGUAGAGGCUGCAGUGGCAGAUUAUAAAACAUCAGUGCAGAUUGGAAAGAAGCGUGAAGAAGAAAUGCAAGAGAAACUUGCUGAUAGUUUCAGAAAGCAGUCAAUGUCAGAAAAUUCUCGGAAGCUUUCUGAAGAUUACUGCCGUCACCUGCAGAACGACAUCUCGAAGCUGGAGGAAGACAUGGACAAGGCUAAUGUCAAGGUGCUUGAACUCUCCAUACAGCUGGAGAUGGAACGGCAAAAGUCACUGGAGCUAGAAAUGGCAAAUCGAGCGCUGCAAGACCUGGUUCACCAAUAUCGCCCACAGGCCACUGCAGUGGGCUGUAGCCCAUUCUCACAGAAUAGAAGGUGGCACGAAGGAGGAGCCCCAAAAGAAAUGGGGCAGAAGCCAGAGCCCAGCCGCUUUGUUCCGGUAAACUGA
rnacentral:lncRNA from 7 species